GACGAACGCUGGCGGCGUGCCUAAUACAUGCAAGUCGAACGAGAGCGACCGGUGCUUGCACUGGUCAAUCUAGUGGCGAACGGGUGAGUAACACGUGGGUAACCUGCUCAUCAGAGGGGGAUAACAUCCGGAAACGGAUGCUAAAACCGCAUAGGUCUUCGAGCCGCAUGGCUUGAAGAGGAAAAGAGGCGCAAGCUUCUGCUGAUGGAUGGACCCGCGGUGCAUUAGCUAGUUGGUGAGGUAACGGCUCACCAAGGCCGUGAUGCAUAGCCGACCUGAGAGGGUGAUCGGCCACAUUGGGACUGAGACACGGCCCAAACUCCCACGGGAGGCAGCAGUAGGGAAUCUUCCGCAAUGGACGCAAGUCUGACGGAGCAACGCCGCGUGAGUGAAGAAGGUUUUCGGAUCGUAAAACUCUGUUGUUAGAGAAGAACAAGUGCUAGAGUAACUGUUAGCGCCUUGACGGUAUCUAACCAGAAAGCCACGGCUAACUACGUG
rnacentral:rRNA from 1 species